UUUCGAUAAUGGCAAACUUGAUGAAAAUCAGGGACGCAAAGCCACGGGCCUACGGGAAAUUCUAUGGCAGCCGGGUUACCGAA
rnacentral:ncRNA from 1 species